UACGUAGGUGGCAAGCGUUGUCCGGAAUUAUUGGGCGUAAAGCGCGCGCAGGCGGCCUUUUAAGUCUGAUGUGAAAGCCCACGGCUUAACCGUGGAAGGUCAUUGGAAACUGAGAGGCUUGAGUACAGAAGAGGAAAGCGGAAUUCCACGUGUAGUGGUGGAAUGCGUAGAUAUCGGGAGGAACACCAGUGGCGAAGGCGGUUGCCUGGAGCUUUGCUGACGCUGAGGCGCGAAAGCGUGGGGAGCGAUCCGG
rnacentral:rRNA from 1 species